GAGCUUAUAGUUCAAUCGGUUAGAACUUUCCGCUCAUAACGGAACAGUUAUAGGUUCAAGUCCUAUUAAGCUCA
rnacentral:tRNA from 1 species